rnacentral:misc_RNA from 1 species
GUAAAAUAUUAAUUAUUAUAACAAUAUUUAUUAAAAUAAUAUUUAUUUUUUAUUUAAAAAUAUAAAAUAAAAUAAUUAAUAAAAAAAUAAAAUUAAACACUACUAUUCAUAAUACCAUCCAGCUUUCAUUUAAUUUUUUAAUUAUUUUAUUUAAUAAUUUUUAUGUAAAAAAUGUUGCACGCUAUCGAAUAGCAUCCGGCUAUUCAACACAUUUUAAACUCUAUUAUAAUUAGUGUCUCGCCUCAAAACUUUUCAAUCUAGCACGAUUUCACCCUUUGAUAAUUAAGUUCAAUCUGACCAUUUUUUGGUAUAUUAUUUUUUCUAUUACACCCAUCAGGUAAAAAGCUUAAGCUUACAAAUGCAGAUUGAAGAUUUUCAUUCUUGAAUAAAUUUCUUCAGAGGGGACAACAAAAAGAUGUCUCACAAAAAGGUUAAAUAUACUUCAACCUUAGAUCAUGCAUAACCCAUUUUUUCUAUUAAUUCACAAGAACGUAUAAGCAAAAACAUUACACCCCAUCAACGACAAUGAAACUUCGAAUCAGCGUACAACAAUUUACUUACAGAAAAUGAACCAAGAAGUCGAUCUCGUGCCAAAACUUCAGAAGUCUUCACCCAUAUCUGUUGAGCAAAUUCAAUUUUAGACUCAACAAUACAGAUAAACAGUGCCACUAAAAGCUCAACUUGACUGGAAUAUUCUAUUUUCUAAUGUUUAGGAGCAUAAAGGAAACUCAGAAAAGUGUUUCUCCAUGGGAAGUUGCUAGAUACAAAAGGCUUGAACCAAGCUUGCAUUUUCAACCCAACAACUUAGCCAGCCAAGACACAUGAAUCUUUCUCAAACUAUCAUGAAAUGUGUCAACUCAUACAUAACUGUUUCUUGAACAAUUGCAAGCAAAUUCUUGUGAUAUUACUCUACAAUCACAACAGAUUGAUGAAUGUUACACUGGUCAACCAAAAGAAAAACGAGGCAAUAGUUGGUGUAAUGUCAAUUUCUUAAAUUCCUUCCAUAAUAUGCGCGCUAAAUUCUCUCAGAAUAUGACAGAAGCUGCAACGUUUCAAAUAAGCACAGAACUUUAUUUAUUGAAUCAAAUGGCUAACCCAAACCACUGGUUCAAUGAAGUUAUGUAUAAUGCUUAGCAGUCGCAAUGAAUUGUAUUGUUGUGCAAUAAAAAGAUGUACAAGUUAUCAUCCACUACAUUAACCUAGGAAGUUCUAUUGCUAAGGAAAAGCUCAAAGAAAAAAAGAAAAUAGUAACAACUAUUUAAGACCUCUCCCUGCAAGCAUCAGCCAAUCAGAGCGAUAUAAAAGUGACAAAGACGCAGUUAAAAACCAAAGGAGAAUAAAUUUCCUGUACCUGACCAUCAUACCACCCAGUUUCUUCGUCUGCAACAAAAGAUAAGAGAUUAAAGAACUGCCUCGCCAAUCAAAGAAAGCUACGAGAACAAUAUAGCUCUGCUUGGUUGCUCAGAAAAUGAAAAUUAUUGCACCCGUAGACUUUUAAGAUACAAAAGUACUUUAGAUGCAUCGUUGAAAUCAUUAAGAAGCAUACAAAAGCAAAACGAGACGAGACCAGACAAGAAUAAGAUAGAAUUACAUUCAACAGUGGCACUGAGCAAACGAUUCCCCACGUAGGCCCAACCUAGAUACAUCCUCACAACAGCAAGACUCACCACAAGUAUCCCACUGGAUAAAGCUGCAAGAAUUGGCUUCAAAGGUUCCAAUUCUGGUCUCACCGAACCAAACCAAGCGACAGGCAACCCGACAAAGAAAACAAAAGCAGCGCCAACAACGAACAAUCGAGAGCUGUACUCAAUAAAAUCAUCGGCAGCCCAGGAAAAGGGGAAGGAAGUGGAAAGAUUCUGGUACUCAUUUAUGGGCUGUUGGUCAAGUGGAACAGGGCACUCUGUUUCAGAUGGAGUGUUGCUUCCAUUUCUAAAUGAUGAAAAGGGUAUGCUAGGAAUUAUGUUUUUAUGGUGGUGUAAUCUAGGUUUGGCAAAUGGGAUGAGGAAUUUGGAGGUGGGGAUGGGAGUGGGAGUGGGAGUGGGAGGGGAGAAGAGGACUGGAGGUUGUUUUGCUGUUAAGUGAAGGUCCAGAAUUGCCAUCCUCACCUUGAUGGCUUUGCUCUGCUCCAUCUAAAUUUCAUUUUAUUCUGGAAUGAAAGAUUUUUGAGGGGAAGGGGUUGUGAUCAGGUGUAUUUUGCUUCACU